UGCGUAGGCGGCGGGGCAAGUCUGAUGUGAAAUCCCGGGGCUCAACCCCGGAACUGCAUUGGAUACUGCCUUGCUUGAGUACUGGAGAGGGAACUGGAAUUUACGGUGUAGCAGUGAAAUGCGUAGAGAUCGUAAGGAAGGCCAGUGGCGAAGGCGAGUUCCUGGACAGUUACUGACGCUGAGGCACGAAGGCCAGGGGAGGCAAACG
rnacentral:rRNA from 1 species